rnacentral:sRNA from 1 species
CUCCCUCAUCCAUCCUUCAUUCAUUAUGCACCCAGUGCUGGGUGCUUGGUACACGGGGGUGAAUCACACCCCGUUCCUGCCUUCGGGGAGUUCAGGGGAUGGUGGGAGGACACGGACCUAGACUCCGACAGUGACAGCUCUGAGUAAAGAAGUCGCCGAAGCAGUGGGACACUAGAGGCGGGGAAGGCUUCCUGGAGGAAGUGAGGCCUAAACUGAGCCUUGAAGAAUGGUUAAGAGUUUGCUCCAGGAAUAUAUUGCAAAGGCAUUCUUGGCGGAAGGACCCGAGACGUGAAAAAAACAAGCGUAUUCUGGUAAUUUCGAGGAGGCACCCACUACCUGCGGGGCGUGAACAACGCGCGCCAGCCGUGGCACAACGCGGAGGGCCGGCUGCGGUACGGGCUGCGGCCGGCGAACCCCACGGAGGAGGGCCUGGCCAGCCUGCACAGCGUGCUGUUCCGCAAGCAGCCGUUCCUGUGGCGCGCUGCGCUGCUCUACUACACCAUCCACCGCGCCGCGCGCAUGUCCUUCCGUCAGCUCUUCCAGGACCUGGCGCGCUACGUGCAGGACGCCGACGUGCGCUGGGAGUACUGCGUGCGCGCCAAGCGCGGCCAGACGGACACCUCGCUGCCAGGUGUCCUAUGAGGAUGUGGACCACCUGCGGCCCCAUGGGGUGCUGGAUAAUACCCGGGUGCCCCACUUCAUGCAGGACUUGGCACGCUACCGGCAGCAGCUGGAGCACAUCAUGGCCACCAACCGGCUGGACGAGGCGGAGCUGGGUCGCCUGCUACCCGACUGAUGUCCAUUGAGGGCUGCAGACAGAGGCCCUGGACAGAAGC